AUCUUACAUAGAAAUCUUUUGUCCCGUUUUAUUUUUCUCUUUUUUUCCUUAUUUGGCAUCCUGCAUGUUUAUUUUAUGAGACAUUGUCUGAAAGGUGCCACAGAACACAUUUUUCCCAGAGAUGCCAUUGCACUGAGUUUCAUGCGCCAGCAUUCCCUCACUGAAAGAGGAACUUCAGAUCCUUUUUCAAACACCCAGGACCUCUAGCACACACACACACACACACAGACACCUGGAAGACCCUUCAACAAAGAUUUCAACUCCACAGCCGGCAUUUUAAGACGCCAGGUCUGCAUUAUUUGCCUCUUGUUUUCUUCCACUCCCUCCUCUAGGAUGUCCACCCCUGUUCCUCAUCUUCAACCGAGAGGCAUCGACUACAACCUGCCCACCUGCGGAGACACUCUGUGCAAUAGCCGAGGUACCUGUGCACGUCCUCUUGGUGGUGGCACCGCUUUCGUGUGCGACUGCAAGCUUGGCUACCAGGGAGAACACUGCGAGGACACAGUCAACGGGGCGUUAAAUGUACCACUGACCCUCAGUGUGCUGGCAGUCAUCAUUGGGCUGCUGAUUAUUGCUUUCAUCUUCGCCAAGUUGAGGCAGAGGCAAAAGAAGAGGCAAAGGAGACAUCUGGCAGAAAAACAUGGCUACAACAUCGCUGUGUAAUGUGGAUUAAUCAUUACAUUUGAGGUCAGCCAUGGUAUUGUGGCCAGUGACACCAUUGAGCUUCCACGAGCAUCCUUCUGCAGCAAUCUUACAGCUCAGUUUAUUGAGUGUUUUCUGAGGAAUCAGAUCUAUUGUUCUGGAUGGCUAACCUGUGGCUACUUCUCUACGACAGAAACUCAGACACUGAACUCAUGAACUGAGCUUUAACAGGGGUUAACAGUGACACAACUUCAUUGCAGUAAUGAUGUUUUUCAUAUAUCAAUUGAAGAUGGAAAAAUAAAACUUUAAAGUACACCCCCACACACGACUCAUUGAGGGCAAAUGUCAUGCAUGUGUCACAGAGCUCUCACUCUGUUCAUUCAGACAGGUAAUGGAUUAAUAGACUGACAUAAUACAGUACUGUGCUGUUUGCCAACUCUACAACAGCAUAUAUUUACGGAUAAAAGUAAAAAAAUUAUACUGCUUCAUAAAUCAUUGAUUUGUGAAUAACAUCAGUUUGGGAAUGAGGUUGUGUCACUACUUUUAUUUGCUUAAGGAGCAUAAUAAUAUGUUUUAGGUUUCUUGUAUAGUGCAUUGUUCCCCUAACCAGCAACAAGUCCUGAACUCCAAUCCAAAUGCAAUUCACUAAUUUUGUUUUUAUUUGCUUGUUUUUUUAAAUAUUCAUGUGUUAUUUAUAGUAUUCUGACACAUUAUUGUGUCUAGUGCUAAUUAAAACUGUAACAAUUAGAUCAAUCCCAACAGUAGGUGCAACCAUUUUGUUGUUGUGGGCAUCAUCUUUGAUGCAGAAAUCUUUUAUGGACUAAACCAUCCACUGCAUGGUUUACAGUUUGAAUAAUGCACAGUGGGAAAUAUUCAUAUUCUAAUUAAUAUCUAGAACUUAUUUCCUGUAUGCAAAAGCUUGUUUCCAUAUGCGCUACUCUAACACUGACUUUAUUCAGUAAAAUAAUGCAAAUGUUUGCCUAUCAGUUACUGUCUGUAGCGGCUUCCUUUAAAUACAGAGAAAGCAGAGGGGAGAGCUGCAGUGGUAGUGAACAAUUCAUACUGCCAUGUUUUUGUACUUAACGCUGUAGAAGCAAGUUCGAUAGAGGUGUUGAAAACCAAAAGUGGAAGAUGUUUCCAAAACCAUUUCAUUCAAGGUAAGCCAGGGCUAUUAACCCAAUAUGAUUUUACAGAAGUCCCGGAAAGCAUUUGCGUCUCUAGAGCUUGUCUCAGUUUACCACAUUAUGCACUUUGUUUCCUGCUUACUGUGUCUGUGAGCUUUUGAGUUCCUGUGCUCUCUGAAUCUCAGUUUGCAGAUUGAUAUUUUGUCAGAAAUAAACCUUUGUACUGUCUAAAUCAAAGCUAGACGGUGAGUUAGUCCUUACUGAGUAUCCAGUAACUCUCAGGAACGUAGCCAGAGCUUCUUUGUGCUGUAUUGCCUCUUUCUUUUGUACAUUAUUGACUGAAUAUCUAUGUUUUAUAUGCCUUUUUUUUGUAACUAACUACAACUUUUUUUAUGUGCAAGAUGCAUAACUUUUUUUUAUAUAACCUUGUCUUCCUCUCUGUUUUGUGUUGCUGGAUUACACAAUAGUUCAUGUAGUCGGACAUGUAUCACUUGUAUAAAUCAUUGUUGAGCAUGUGCAUUUUUGUAUAUAAACAGAUUCUAAGUG